rnacentral:rRNA from 1 species
AGACAGCUAGGAGGUUGGCUUAGAAGCAGCCAUCCUUUAAAGAAAGCGUAAUAGCUCACUAGUCGAGUCGGCCUGCGCGGAAGAUGUAACGGGGCUCAAACCACACACCGAAGCUGCGGGUGUCACGUAAGUGACGCGGUAGAGGAGCGUUCUGUAAGCCUGUGAAGGUGAGUUGAGAAGCUUGCUGGAGGUAUCAGAAGUGCGAAUGCUGACAUGAGUAACGACAAUGGGUGUGAAAAACACCCACGCCGAAAGACCAAGGGUUCCUGCGCAACGUUAAUCGACGCAGGGUUAGUCGGUUCCUAAGGCGAGGCUGAAAAGCGUAGUCGAUGGGAAACAGGUUAAUAUUCCUGUACUUCUGGUUACUGCGAUGGAGGGACGGAGAAGGCUAGGCCAGCUUGGCGUUGGUUGUCCAAGUUUAAGGUGGUAGGCUGAAAUCUUAGGUAAAUCCGGGGUUUCAAGGCCGAGAGCUGAUGACGAGUCGUCUUUUAGAUGACGAAGUGGUUGAUGCCAUGCUUCCAAGAAAAGCUUCUAAGCUUCAGGUAAUCAGGAACCGUACCCCAAACCGACACAGGUGGUCGGGUAGAGAAUACCAAGGCGCUUGAGAGAACUCGGGUGAAGGAACUAGGCAAAAUGGCACCGUAACUUCGGGAGAAGGUGCGCCGGCUAGGGUGAAGGAUUUACUCCGUAAGCUCUGGCUGGUCGAAGAUACCAGGCCGCUGCGACUGUUUAUUAAAAACACAGCACUCUGCAAACACGAAAGUGGACGUAUAGGGUGUGACGCCUGCCCGGUGCCGGAAGGUUAAUUGAUGGGGUUAGCGCAAGCGAAGCUCUUGAUCGAAGCCCCGGUAAACGGCGGCCGUAACUAUAACGGUCCUAAGGUAGCGAAAUUCCUUGUCGGGUAAGUUCCGACCUGCACGAAUGGCGUAACGAUGGCGGCGCUGUCUCCACCCGAGACUCAGUGAAAUUGAAAUCGCUGUGAAGAUGCAGUGUAUCCGCGGCUAGACGGAAAGACCCCGUGAACCUUUACUGUAGCUUUGCACUGGACUUUGAGCCUGCUUGUGUAGGAUAGGUGGGAGGCUUUGAAGCGUGGACGCCAGUUCGCGUGGAGCCAUCCUUGAAAUACCACCCUGGCAUGCUUGAGGUUCUAACUCUGGUCCGUGAUCCGGAUCGAGGACAGUGUAUGGUGGGCAGUUUGACUGGGGCGGUCUCCUCCUAAAGAGUAACGGAGGAGUACGAAGGUGCGCUCAGACCGGUCGGAAAUCGGUCGCAGAGUAUAAAGGCAAAAGCGCGCUUGACUGCGAGACAGACACGUCGAGCAGGUACGAAAGUAGGUCUUAGUGAUCCGGUGGUUCUGUAUGGAAGGGCCAUCGCUCAACGGAUAAAAGGUACUCCGGGGAUAACAGGCUGAUACCGCCCAAGAGUUCAUAUCGACGGCGGUGUUUGGCACCUCGAUGUCGGCUCAUCACAUCCUGGGGCUGAAGCCGGUCCCAAGGGUAUGGCUGUUCGCCAUUUAAAGUGGUACGCGAGCUGGGUUUAGAACGUCGUGAGACAGUUCGGUCCCUAUCUGCCGUGGACGUUUGAGAUUUGAGAGGGGCUGCUCCUAGUACGAGAGGACCGGAGUGGACGAACCUCUGGUGUUCCGGUUGUCACGCCAGUGGCAUUGCCGGGUAGCUAUGUUCGGAAAAGAUAACCGCUGAAAGCAUCUAAGCGGGAAACUUGCCUCAAGAUGAGAUCUCACUGGGAACUUGAUUCCCCUGAAGGGCCGUCGAAGACUACGACGUUGAUAGGCUGGGUGUGUAAGCGUUGUGAGGCGUUGAGCUAACCAGUACUAAUUGCCCGUGAGGCUUGACC